AGUUCGUGUUGUGGGCAAGUUUGUAUCAUUCCCUUGUAUCUCUCCCACGCUUCGUACAAAGAUUCUCCAUCAUUUUUUUUGGAAUUUUGCAAUGUUCUUCUCCAACUU